rnacentral:rRNA from 1 species
GGUGAAAAGCACCCCGGAAGGGGAGUGAAAUAGAACCUGAAACCGUGUGCUUACAAGUAGUCAGAGCCCGUUAAUGGGUGAUGGCGUGCCUUUUGUAGAAUGAACCGGCGAGUUACGAUUUGAUGCAAGGUUAAGCAGUAAAUGUGGAGCCGUAGCGAAAGCGAGUCUGAAUAGGGCGUUUAGUAUUUGGUCGUAGACCCGAAACCAGGUGAUCUACCCUUGGUCAGGUUGAAGUUCAGGUAACACUGAAUGGAGGACCGAACCGACUUACGUUGAAAAGUGAGCGGAUGAACUGAGGGUAGCGGAGAAAUUCCAAUCGAACCUGGAGAUAGCUGGUUCUCUCCGAAAUAGCUUUAGGGCUAGCCUCAAGUGAUGAUUAUUGGAGGUAGAGCACUGUUUGGACGAGGGGCCCCUCUCGGGUUACCGAAUUCAGACAAACUCCGAAUGCCAAUUAAUUUAACUUGGGAGUCAGAACAUGGGUGAUAAGGUCCGUGUUCGAAAGGGAAACAGCCCAGACCACCAGCUAAGGUCCCAAAAUAUAUGUUAAGUGGAAAAGGAUGUGGCGUUGCCCAGACAACUAGGAUGUUGGCUUAGAAGCAGCCAUCAUUUAAAGAGUGCGUAAUAGCUCACUAGUCGAGUGACACUGCGCCGAAAAUGUACCGGGGCUAAACAUAUUACCGAAGCUGUGGAUUGUCCUUUGGACAAUGGUAGGAGAGCGUUCUAAGGGCGUUGAAGCAUGAUCGUAAGGACAUGUGGAGCGCUUAGAAGUGAGAAUGCCGGUGUGAGUAGCGAAAGACGGGUGAGAAUCCCGUCCACCGAUUGACUAAGGUUUCCAGAGGAAGGCUCGUCCGCUCUGGGUUAGUCGGGUCCUAAGCUGAGGCCGACAGGCGUAGGCGAUGGAUAACAGGUUGAUAUUCCUGUACCACCUAUAAUCGUUUUAAUCGAUGGGGGGACGCAGUAGGAUAGGCGAAGCGUGCGAUUGGAUUGCACGUCUAAGCAGUAAGGCUGAGUAUUAGGCAAAUCCGGUACUCAUUAAGGCUGAGCUGUGAUGGGGAGAAGACAUUGUGUCUUCGAGUCGUUGAUUUCACACUGCCGAGAAAAGCCUCUAGAUAGAAAAUAGGUGCCCGUACCGCAAACCGACACAGGUAGUCAAGAUGAGAAUUCUAAGGUGAGCGAGCGAACUCUCGUUAAGGAACUCGGCAAAAUGACCCCGUAACUUCGGGAGAAGGGGUGCUCUUUAGGGUUAACGCCCAGAAGAGCCGCAGUGAAUAGGCCCAAGCGACUGUUUAUCAAAAACACAGGUCUCUGCUAAACCGUAAGGUGAUGUAUAGGGGCUGACGCCUGCCCGGUGCUGGAAGGUUAAGAGGAGUGGUUAGCUUCUGCGAAGCUACGAAUCGAAGCCCCAGUAAACGGCGGCCGUAACUAUAACGGUCCUAAGGUAGCGAAAUUCCUUGUCGGGUAAGUUCCGACCCGCACGAAAGGCGUAACGAUUUGGGCACUGUCUCAACGAGAGACUCGGUGAAAUCAUAGUACCUGUGAAGAUGCAGGUUACCCGCGACAGGACGGAAAGACCCCGUGGAGCUUUACUGUAGCCUGAUAUUGAAAUUCGGCACAGCUUGUACAGGAUAGGUAGGAGCCUUUGAAACGUGAGCGCUAGCUUACGUGGAGGCGCUGGUGGGAUACUACCCUAGCUGUGUUGGCUUUCUAACCCGCACCACUUAUCGUGGUGGGAGACAGUGUCAGGCGGGCAGUUUGACUGGGGCGGUCGCCUCCUAAAAGGUAACGGAGGCGCUCAAAGGUUCCCUCAGAAUGGUUGGAAAUCAUUCAUAGAGUGUAAAGGCAUAAGGGAGCUUGACUGCGAGACCUACAAGUCGAGCAGGGUCGAAAGACGGACUUAGUGAUCCGGUGGUUCCGCAUGGAAGGGCCAUCGCUCAACGGAUAAAAGCUACCCCGGGGAUAACAGGCUUAUCUCCCCCAAGAGUUCACAUCGACGGGGAGGUUUGGCACCUCGAUGUCGGCUCAUCGCAUCCUGGGGCUGUAGUCGGUCCCAAGGGUUGGGCUGUUCGCCCAUUAAAGCGGUACGCGAGCUGGGUUCAGAACGUCGUGAGACAGUUCGGUCCCUAUCCGUCGUGGGCGUAGGAAAUUUGAGAGGAGCUGUCCUUAGUACGAGAGGACCGGG